GCAUAUCAAAUCCAGAUCUGAAAAACCUGCAUAUCCAAAAACGUUCAAAUGACUUAAAAAUAGAGAAAAUGAGUGGAAGAUUAGAUAAAUCUACAUUUAUAGAACACACAAAAAUACAUAUCUAAAAUUAAUAGAUUUACCUUUAAAUUAGUGGAAGAUGAGUACCAUUUGAUUAAAAACCUGCAAAAGAGAUAGAUUAGUAAGAAAUACAUGAGACAAAACUGAAAAAUUCAUAUAAAGUUUGGUGUUUUCAAGUCAAAGAGAUUAGAGAGAGGUUGGAGAGUUUUAGAAUGAUGAACAUUACAUUUUUGUUGCAGCCAUUUGAGAGGAGGAGAGAGAAUGUGUAAAUUUUUCUUUAUAUAGGGAGACAAAAAAUCCAAUUAGGUUAAAUAUUUUUGACUCAGACGACUUCCUGGACGACUUACAUUUCAGUCGUCUGGUGAAGAAAUUAAAACAGACGACUUACAUGUAAGUCGUCCAGAAGAGUUUAAUAUUUUUAGCGGGAAAUUAAAUAUUUUUAGCGGGAAACUAAAAUAGAAGACUUUCCAGACGACUUACAAGUAAGUCGUCUGGUUUAAAUUAUUUAAGCGGGAAAAUAAUUUUUUUAAAAAAUUUUAGGCGGGAAUAUUUGGACGACUUACAUGUAAGUCAUCUGUUUUAAUUUCUUCACCAGACGACUGAAAUGUAAGUCGUCCGAGUAAAUUAUUCAACAGACGACUGAAAUAUAAGUCGUCCACACCCUAAACAUAACCCCUAAACUUAAUUAUCUAAUUAAAGACUUCAUAAAAUCAAAUCAAACUUGAAAAGUGUUUACUAUACACAUAAAUAAACACAUAUAGGUGAAAACUAAUUUUUGAAAAAAACAUUUUAGUUUUCCAAAAUCUAACCCUAACAAUACAUACAAUACUACAACAUAUGUUUGCCAAACUCCUAAACCAAAGUAUUUCAUGAUUCACUACUUCCACUCAUCUAUCUUCAAAACAAAUCAAUUUUAUCAUAUCUUAAUUUAUAUCACUUAAAACUGUUUAUAAUUACUUGAUUUUUAUUUUUCACGCAUCAAAAUAUUUUUUUACAAGAUUUAUAAAUUAUUUUUAAAAUAAACUGGUACCAGACGACUUAAACUUCAGUCGUCCAGACGACUUCCAACAUCUCAGACGACUCAGACGAUUUACUGGGGCUAUAUUCGUAAAAAUGACUUCUAUUUUUUUGUUUGGUUACAAGGGGUUGAGCUGUAAUUUCACUAGGCUUUUAGGUUAGUUUUGCAUUUGAUUCAAGUUUGGGUAUAGGUUUGGGAUUAAAAUCAAGUUGUGGGUUAGUUUUGGCAAAAACCCCAAUAUUUAAACCCAGAGUCGUCUCUUGGAACGUGAGGGAGGAGUAAAAUUAGGUCCAUCUUUUUUCCAUCUAUACUAUUAAAAGAGAAUCAUUCUGAAAAAAUCUACUUAUACAAGUUGUUUGGACUCUUUUAUCUAAGUAACAAUUAUUUUGUCCUACCAUCUAUUAAUCAACUAACAAAAUAUAACUGUAUGGUUACCUACCUAUAUUUCUUACGCCAAAUCUAAACCACUAAUAAAACAACUAUAUUUUAUUAGACAGACCAAACAUGUUCCACAAUAUUAUAGAACACAAUAUAUUUUAUAUCGAAGACACUAUACACUAUAUAAUCAAACACAUUGAGUUUUGCGAUACAUGGUCAUCUUUCAUGACAGUUAUAUGUACUAUAAUGUACUAUAAUCAUAUCACGUAUUGUAUCAUCUCAAUCAAUCUAAGAUUCCAAAAUAUUAUUGUUUAAAUCGUUAUAUACCAAGUCCUUUAUUAGUCCAUUCUCAUCUAUCAAAGAUAAAAUCUGUUUUUUAAAAAUCGGAUCAAGUUUAUAAUUACCACGUUUUCCUAACUAUUGUGAUAAUAUUGUAAAAUAUAAGUUAUUAAUUUGCUAGCAUAAAUUUCUCUAACCUACUUUAACUGAAUAGAUUUUCGAAACAAUCUUUUCGAUAGGAUUUUAAAUACAUAAAAACUAAAAUCUUAGAAAAAUUGAUCUACAAGUUUCGUAUUAACUGGAUAAACAUUAUUGUUUGGAAAUUAUAUUCCAGUAAUAUUCCUUAUUCCUUCAACUAAAAAAUCAUAUCAGAUCUUCUUUAACUUCAACCCUAAUUAUAUGUACCCUACAAACACGGCGACCCCUCCUAUUAUAAAUGGUUGCUCGUGGUUAACCCCUAAGUUCAUGAAAUAUAUCGAUACAAAACAAUGGCAAACAAUAUGCAGCUGUCUUUCUUGAACGAUCUCAAACCUCACAAAACUGCUUGGCGCAUUCAAGUGAAAAUCCUCCACUCAUGGAGAUUCUUCAUGAAAGGUGUUGGUGAAUCUAUGGAACUCAUCCUAAGUGAUGCACAUGUAAGUUUCUCUAUUUAUAUAGAGUCUAUAUGAGUAGACACAAACUAACCUUUCUUUUUUAUAGGGAACAAAAAUCCAUGCCUCGUGUAAGAAGACCUACAUGGCUGAUUUGGCUAAGCAUGUUCGUGUUGGUGCGUGGAGAAACAUUGAUCAUUUCUGUGUUUCUGGUGCUGGGAAUGGUGCAUAUCGAUCAACUGGUCACAAAUAUCGCUUGGCUUUUAUUCACAGCACUAAAAUAUCAGAGUCUACCCUACAUGAUGACAACAUGUUUCUUAACAUUGUUGAUUUCGAUUCAAUACAAAGUGGUUUGCUAGAUUCGAACUUUCUGAGUGAAAACUAAUUUUUGAAAAAAACAUUUUAGUUUUCCAAAAUCUAACCCUAACAAUACAUACAAUACUACAACAUAUGUUUGCCAAACUCCUAAACCAAAGUAUUUCAUGAUUCACUACUUCCACUCAUCUAUCUUCAAAACAAAUCAAUUUUAUCAUAUCUUAAUUUAUAUCACUUAAAACUGUUUAUAAUUACUUGAUUUUUAUUUUUCACGCAUCAAAAUAUUUUUUUACAAGAUUUAUAAAUUAUUUUUAAAAUAAACUGGUACCAGACGACUUAAACUUCAGUCGUCCAGACGACUUCCAACAUCUCAGACGACUCAGACGAUUUACUGGGGCUAUAUUCGUAAAAAUGACUUCUAUUUUUUUGUUUGGUUACAAGGGGUUGAGCUGUAAUUUCACUAGGCUUUUAGGUUAGUUUUGCAUUUGAUUCAAGUUUGGGUAUAGGUUUGGGAUUAAAAUCAAGUUGUGGGUUAGUUUUGGCAAAAACCCCAAUAUUUAAACCCAGAGUCGUCUCUUGGAACGUGAGGGAGGAGUAAAAUUAGGUCCAUCUUUUUUCCAUCUAUACUAUUAAAAGAGAAUCAUUCUGAAAAAAUCUACUUAUACAAGUUGUUUGGACUCUUUUAUCUAAGUAACAAUUAUUUUGUCCUACCAUCUAUUAAUCAACUAACAAAAUAUAACUGUAUGGUUACCUACCUAUAUUUCUUACGCCAAAUCUAAACCACUAAUAAAACAACUAUAUUUUAUUAGACAGACCAAACAUGUUCCACAAUAUUAUAGAACACAAUAUAUUUUAUAUCGAAGACACUAUACACUAUAUAAUCAAACACAUUGAGUUUUGCGAUACAUGGUCAUCUUUCAUGACAGUUAUAUGUACUAUAAUGUACUAUAAUCAUAUCACGUAUUGUAUCAUCUCAAUCAAUCUAAGAUUCCAAAAUAUUAUUGUUUAAAUCGUUAUAUACCAAGUCCUUUAUUAGUCCAUUCUCAUCUAUCAAAGAUAAAAUCUGUUUUUUAAAAAUCGGAUCAAGUUUAUAAUUACCACGUUUUCCUAACUAUUGUGAUAAUAUUGUAAAAUAUAAGUUAUUAAUUUGCUAGCAUAAAUUUCUCUAACCUACUUUAACUGAAUAGAUUUUCGAAACAAUCUUUUCGAUAGGAUUUUAAAUACAUAAAAACUAAAAUCUUAGAAAAAUUGAUCUACAAGUUUCGUAUUAACUGGAUAAACAUUAUUGUUUGGAAAUUAUAUUCCAGUAAUAUUCCUUAUUCCUUCAACUAAAAAAUCAUAUCAGAUCUUCUUUAACUUCAACCCUAAUUAUAUGUACCCUACAAACACGGCGACCCCUCCUAUUAUAAAUGGUUGCUCGUGGUUAACCCCUAAGUUCAUGAAAUAUAUCGAUACAAAACAAUGGCAAACAAUAUGCAGCUGUCUUUCUUGAACGAUCUCAAACCUCACAAAACUGCUUGGCGCAUUCAAGUGAAAAUCCUCCACUCAUGGAGAUUCUUCAUGAAAGGUGUUGGUGAAUCUAUGGAACUCAUCCUAAGUGAUGCACAUGUAAGUUUCUCUAUUUAUAUAGAGUCUAUAUGAGUAGACACAAACUAACCUUUCUUUUUUAUAGGGAACAAAAAUCCAUGCCUCGUGUAAGAAGACCUACAUGGCUGAUUUGGCUAAGCAUGUUCGUGUUGGUGCGUGGAGAAACAUUGAUCAUUUCUGUGUUUCUGGUGCUGGGAAUGGUGCAUAUCGAUCAACUGGUCACAAAUAUCGCUUGGCUUUUAUUCACAGCACUAAAAUAUCAGAGUCUACCCUACAUGAUGACAACAUGUUUCUUAACAUUGUUGAUUUCGAUUCAAUACAAAGUGGUUUGCUAGAUUCGAACUUUCUGAUUGGUAUGUUUAUUUUAAGAAUAGAUAUAAUUUCCCUAUUAUCACAAUAAUGUUUAGGUAACUAACACAUAAAUUAUAUGAUGCAGAUGUUUUCGGACAAGUUUUAGACUUGGGUGAUCUCGAGACUAUUCAGUGUACGGGAGGUAAACAAAGAAAGAAGUUGGAGUUUUCACUCGUGAAUGUUUGGUAUGCUUUAUAAAUACGGUAGUUUUAAAUACUAAGAUGUAUGUAUAAUUUAGUAUCUAAUAGUAUUGUAUAAAUGUUUUCAGUGGUCAAAGAUUAGCUUGCUGUCUAUGGGGGAAAUUUGCAGAGAAUCUCCACUCUGUUUGCCAAGAAACAGAAGGCAUUGUAUUAUGCCUUCUAAGAUUCGCUAAGAUUGGGCAAUACAGAGGUAUCUAUUAUGCAUCCUAUAAACUAAUAUCUACACAUACUAUUGCAGUUAUAUAUUUUACCUGCUUGAUAUAUAAAUCACCAUUGUUGUUGACUCUUAGUGUUGUUCAUUAUUAGGAGAAGUCCAGAUCUCCAAUGCUUUCGAUGCAAGUCAGCUCUUUAUCAAUCCUGAAAUAGCAGAAGCAGAUGAGUUUAAACAAAGGUUUACACUUAACAAUAAUAAAUUUUUGUUACAUUGUAAUUCAGUUUUUUUAUUAUCUAACAAAAAACAUAUUCUGACCGCAGAGAGACUGAUGAAUCCCAAGCUUUAGCAAUAUCAGAAUCAGAAGAUAACAAGCUUGUGUUGCAGAUUAAACGAGAUAAAUGGAUGCAAUAUCCACAAAAAAACAUUCGCGAGUUGUUUGAAUCUACCCAGGUGCAAAUUCCAAAAAAUAAUUUAUUUCAUAUUUAUAUUAUAGAUAUCUUCGUUUCAAUUCAAAAGGUUAAAUGUUUAUGUUCUUUGUAGGAUGAAAUCCUAUGCAGAAUAGUGGCAACAAUAUAUGCCAUUGACACCGAUUGGGGAUGGUAUUAUUUUGGGUGCCAAGACUGCAACAAGAAGGUGUUUCCCCAUUCAAAAAUCGUCAAGAAGCUUUAUGGAAAGGAUGUUGUUACACAUAUGUGGUAUUGUGAAACAUGCAAAGUAAAAGUUAGCUCUGUCUCCCCUAGGUAAUUCUUGCACAUUUUACAAAACAAAACUCUCUGUCAAUACUCUAUGUGUCUAGGAGUUUACUUACUGGAUUUUCAGAUUCAAAAUUCAUUUGCUGGUGAAAGAUGAUACUGGCGAGUCAUCCUUUAUGUUGCUGGAUUCAAUUGCUAUUGGAGUUGUUCCACAAUCUGCUACAGAUCUACUGAAUGGUUCACUUGAUGAAGUGAGUAUUUAUCGUUAUCUCUUAUUAACAUAAUUUGUUUUAUUUUGUUUAUAUGUUAACACAUUUUUUAAUAUACAGCUUGAAGACACUUCUUCAUUUCCGGAUGCAAUUACAACUUUGGUUGGACAGACUUUUAUGUUUGGAGUUUACAUUGAAAAAGAUGGUUCUUCUGGCGCAGGGGUGUCAUACAAAGUUGGUAAGGUUUGGAAAGACCUACGUAUGUUAAUGCUUGGUGAAAACUCAGAAAGCUAUUCUGUUCCUAACCAAGGGAUUGAGGUAGCAUAUGCAAUUUCUAUGUUUUUUGUUCUAUGAAUUAUAUGGCAGUUAUAAAUUUUGACCCGUGAUACCAAAUAUUAUUUACUGUAGGCAUCACCUUUGCUUCUGGAGGCUCAAGGUGAUGAAAGUGUUUCUACCCCUUCUUCCAAACGAAAAGGAGACCACCAGGAACUACCAGAACUAGAAUCUACCUCCAAAAAGCAGAGCACUAAAGUUAUCAAAAUGGAGAAGAUACAGAAUGAUUCUUCUGAAUCGAGCUAAACAGUGAAAGUUUGUUUGGUUUGUAGGUGUUUUCAUGUUUGGUUUUUAUUUCGGAUUUUGCAUAAUUGUUUGGUUUUUCUAUUAUCUUUGAUUCAUUUCUUUUUAAGUGAUUUCCAAAUAAUCUUAAUAUUAUUUCGUUUCGAAUAAAUUAUUUUGUAAUUUGUGGAACAUUAUAUAGCUGGCAUUAUAGUAUAGAUCCUACCCCAACAACUUCGAAAUUCUACCUAAUAUACCGUUUCAGUUAUGUUUGCAAUUAUAUUCAAAAUUCUCCAUAAUUAAUAGUUUAAGUUAUUAAAAUGAAAAUAUUGUAUCUGCGAUUUAUAAUACAUUUAAAAUAGAUAUGAUCACAGAAAUAUUUUAUAAAUAAUUAUUGCUCUACAAAUAUGAUCACAGAAAUAUUCUAGAAUAUUUACAAUAUUACGAAUUAUUGGUAGAAUAUUUAAACAUUAAAAUACAGUAUCUACGAUUUAGAAUACAUUUAAAACUGUAUAGUAUAUUCAAUUUAUUUAUUUACAAAAUUAGUAUUAACGACCAAUAUUUAUUAAUUCGCUAGCAUCAAUUUCUAUAACCUACUUUAACUGAAUAGAUUUUCGAAACAAUCUAUUAUAUACGUUUUUAAAAACAUAAAAUUCAAAAUAUUUCAAUAGAUGAUCUACAAGUUUAUUAUUAACUACAAUACAUAAUCAAUUUGUUAGAAAACAAUUAAGUUACCUAUUUUAACUGGAUAAACAUUAACUUUCUUAUUAAUUCAUAACAAUCAGUAUUCCAUUUUUCUCGGGUAAUAUUCUUUAUUCAUCCAACGAUAAAAUCAUAUCAAAUAUUCUAAACACUCAACCCCAAAUAUGCGUGCCCUACAAACACGUUGACCCCUCCUAUUAUAAAUAGCAACUCGUGGUUUACCCCUUAAGGAACAACCCCUGAAAAACUUUCUACUCGGAAAUACACUUAUGGCUUCUAUAAUCAAAAUCAGCAAUUUGAGUGAUGUUCAGCCUUUCAAAUCUGAAUGGAGAGUCGAGGUUAAAGUUCUCCAUAAGUGGCUUACAUUCAAUCACCAGUCUGGUGCUUCUAUUGAAAUGGUUUUAGCAGACAAAAAUGUAAGAUUUAACUUAAACCUAUAAGUUUAGUUUGUAUAUUUAAUAUAUGAGCUUAAACCUUUUUUGUUUUAUGAUUAAGGGUGUGAAGAUCCAUGCCAGUUGCAAACAAACUUUGAUGCCAAAACUCGAGAAUUAUUUCCGUGUUGGAGAAUGGAAAGUUAUUACUAACUUUACGUUAAGUCCAGCCUCUGGUUUAAACAGGCCCACCAACCAUAGAUACAAAAUGAAGUUUGUGAGUCAAACUUCAAUAUCGGAUUCAAAUCUGCAAUGCCACAACAUGUUCCUCGAUCUCCAUGAUUUUGCCAACGUGUUAAAUGGUUCACAAGACCCGAGUUUUCUUAUUGGUAACUCUUAUUAAUUUUUGGUUGUUUAUUUUUAUAUACAUAUAUUUGUUUUCUUAGUGUUUAAUUAAACGUUUUUGCAUAUCAGAUGUUGUUGGCGAAGUCUUAGAUCUUGGUGGACUGGAUAUUGUUCAAUUUGCAAGAAUUGAAGUUACCAGAUUGGAGUUUACUCUAAGAGAUAUCAAGUAAGUUUUGUUUACACAGAAAUUAAAAUAUAGAUUUUUCUAGAUUUGUGCUAAGUUAAUUAAUUAUCACAGAGAUCAACGCCUUCAUUGCUGCAUUACGGGAGGAUUAGCUGAUAAGUUGACCCAAGAAGGCAAUAUGCCAAACAAUGGAGAUAUUUGUUUAAUCAGAUUUGCUAAAUUAUGCAACUACAAGGGUAUUGUUAUAGUAUAUAUAGUUUUUCAUUACAUAUUUGUUUAAUGGUUAUUUUUUUUGUCUUAUAUAUUGACAUUAUAACGUUUAUCAUUGCAGGUAAACUGCAAGUCUCCAAUGCAUUUGAUUCCUCAUUAUUGCUGUUAAACCCAGAUAUCAGUGAAGCCCAAGCGCUGAAUCAAAUGUAUGUAAAAGUUAUUUUUCUAAAUUGUACAUAUAUGUUACCAAAUUCAGAGUUCUGCUUUUAUCAUUUAGGUUUCAUGGUGAUGAUAACUUUCUUGAUGUUUACCAACCUAAGAAAACACGCCAGAAAUGGUCACAAUAUCCAUUCAGAACCAUUCAAGAAAUGAAACACACGGAUAAGGUUUAUUUUGAUUUGUUUUUCGAAAAUUUAUUGUAAAUUUUAUAACAAAUUUGUGAAAGUCAGCUCUUUUGAUAUGUAAUUCGUUUUCACAAACAAUUUUAUGUUUUCCAAGGUUGGAAGUUGCAGAGUAAUUUGUAUUGUUUAUGCUAUUGACACCGCGAGUGGAUGGUAUUAUUUUGCUUGUGUGGUCUGCAACAAUAAGGUUUUCAAAGCUCCUAUUGAAUUUGAUGAUCUGGAUGAGUCUAACUGGUGGUGUGAAUGGUGCCAGUGUAGUGUUCGGAAAGCUGCACCAAGGUCAUAUGUUUUCCAUCCAAAUAUAUGUUAACAUAUGAUUAGUUAUAAUAUAAUGCCAUCUAAUACAUUAAAUGUUGAACUAAUUAUUUUUUUCAGAUACAAGUUGGCUUUGCUUGUGCAAGAUCUGACUGGUGAGUCUAAUUUCAAUCUGUUAGACUCUGCGGCUACGUUUAUUGUGAAAACUUUUGCAGAAAAAAUUGUUAAUCAAUGGUUUGAUGAGGUAAUAUAUAAAUUAUUUUGAGCCAACCAUAAGAAUAUUUUUAAUAGUAGUUAUCUGGUGUAUAAUUAUUCUAACAACUUUAACAGAUUGGAAAUCAAGAAAUGUUACCACCUGAGAUCGUUGAUAUUGUUGGUAAAACUUAUGGUUUCGGGAUUUCAUUUGAUGAGAGCAACCGUUCUUGUGGAACUCAGUUCAAUGCUAAGAAAGUUUGGAAUCUUACUGAUAUAAUGUGGAAGAGAAUCAAGUCACUUCAUCAGAUUUCGACCAGUUCAAGGAAGAAACAAUUCUUAAAUGUGGAUGAGGUUGAAAACAAAGAUCAUGGUGAAGCUAAAGAGAAUAAAAGUUGCUGAUUUGAAUCAUAUUCUCGGAUGCUUUUAUUUCGGUUUUUUUAGUUUUGAUUUGUCUUAUGUUUUUGCUUUUAAAUGUUUUAUUUUCAUUUAUUGUGCCCUGGCUUUCGUCUUGAAUUUUUUUUUUUAUCAAAUAAAAUUAAUAGAGGUUUUGUUUUUUAUUUGAUUAAUUAAUUUUCAAGUUAUUUCCGAAUAGUUCUAUUAUUUUUUGUUUCAUUAUAUAUUAUAUUCUUCGUUGUUUCCAUUUAAUCUCCCUGUCAUUUUAUUAUAUCCUACCCCAAUAAUUAAUUAUAUUUUUUCUUCUCUCUAUUAAACUUAAUCAGAUAUGUUUUAUAUAAUUUACCUUUUAGUUGGAUGAAAAUCAUUGAAGUAUAGGCUUCUUGAUACCAACCGUUGGAUCACUGGUCACAUUUUUGCUGCUGAGAAAAUAAACUGUGUUAGUUUAACACGAUUUUAAAUACAUAGUAUCCGAAAUCUUAGAAUACGUGAUCUACAAGUUUAUUAUUAAAUGAAAUAUGUGAUCAAUUAGUAUGCAAAAAAUUGAAAAUGUUACCUACUUACACGUGAAUAUUCAUGCAUGUAGAUCAAGUGUAUCAAAGAAGAUCUAACAAAUAACCACUGCGACCCCUCCGAUAAAAAAUGUAGAUUAAUGGUAUCAAAGAAGAUCUAACAAAUGAGCUAUUUUGGUUUGUAGGCCCUUUGUUGAUUUAUUUUGCAUUAUUUUAUCAAACAAACGAUUGCAUUACAGAUUACACAAUUUCAAGGAUCAUUUUUGGUUAAUUCCAAAAUUGUAUUUGACGGGUUUUCUAACUAUGUCAGACGACACCAACAGUAGCCAUGACAGACAUACUAAGGAUUGCUCAUCACUAAAAAGGAAGAUGUGUGAUUCUGUUUUUUCAUCUCAACCAAAGAAAAGGAGUUCUACAUUAGUACAAGAUUUAGAGAAUUCUAAUACUCCUCAGAACAGAUCUGGACUUUUGCCUUUGAAAAGGUUUUUCAGUAGGGUGUUGGCUGAUGUCACGAAUAUUGUACAACAGUCCCCAAGUGAUCCACUAUCUCAAGUUUUUAACCAUCCUGAAUCUGUUCACUACUCCACAGAAUCAUCAAGAGGUCUUAUUCGUAAACCCUUACCCAGUAAUUAUGCCUAUAUGUCAUUUCGCCAAACAUAAAUUAUCUAAAAUGUUUGUGUAUUGUUAUGUUUUACCAGUUAAACUGAACGAGAGGACUAGGCCAUCCACUAAGCAAAAUUUGCCUGAUUUAAAUACAUCUGGUAAGAUCAUCUUGAACUAAUUAAAGAGUAAUUUCAUUUAUUUUCAUCUAACCAACUGCGGCCACGUUUAUGAUAGGUUUAACUUGGCAAUCCUUACAAGGUUCUAGCUCUAUAAAUGACACGAUCACUUCAAGCAAAAGAAGUUGUGGAAAUAUUCGUCCAAAAAAUCUAUUCCAAUCGUUCUCAAGCUCUGCUACUACUGAUCUUCCUACUACGACUACAUUGUCCAGAAAAGGAAAGCAAGGUUGUCUAUAUGAAACCAACAUAGAAGAAAUCCCAGAAUUGCAGAAUCCUCUCGAAGGUAUUUGGCCAUAUUAUGUUAUUUAUAUAAGAGUUACACUGUAUGUGAUCAGUACUAAUCUAUAUUGUUACAUGAGCAGAAGAGAGUUACCAGAUUUAUGAUAUCAGUUCAGAAGAAGAAAAUACAAAUGAUGAUGAUCAUUCUGAUUGUGAGACACCAACUUUGCCCCAAGAAGAAAUAAGUGAUCAAAGUGCUUAUAUUUCAACAAUGGCAACUGUUUUUAAGACCAUGUUUGAAGAGAAACCAGUUAAGAAAGGAUGGGCCAAAAAAAAAUACGUUCGUUCAGGUAGUUUGUUUUGUAACAAAAUUCUUCAAAACUAUGUGUGCAUAUUGUGUCGACUAUAUGACUGACUAAUGUUUCAAUAUUUUUUUAGAGAGAAAACCAGUUGUUACGGCAGAAUCCUCAGCAAAGAAAACAGGUUAUGUAACAUGUCCUUACAUUGCUUAUAACUGUCAAUUUUUAUGUUUAAAAUGUUGUCUAAUGUUGACUUGCUUAUGAAUUUAUGACAGAAUACAUUGAUGAAGGUGAUCCAACAUAUAAAUGUGAACACUGUGGAGCCAUUAUGUGGUACGGAGAACGUAUCGAGAAGAAAAGGAAGACCAAGACACCUAAAUUUGCUCUAUGUUGCGGGCAAGGUCAAGUUCAGUUACCAUUACUGAAGCAGUCACCAGAUAUUCUAAGCAAAUUGCUAAACGAUAAGGAUGAGAUCAGCAAGUACUAUAGGGAGAAUAUCAGACAAAUUAAUAUGGUUUUCUCAUUCACUUCGCUCGGUGGCAAAAUUGAUCGAUCAGCUCCACAAGGAGCUGGACCAAAGAUGGUUGUUCUUCAAGGAGAGAAUUAUCACUUAAUGGGUAGUUUAAAACCACCACCAGGAGGAGAUCCUAAGUUCGGCCAGCUCUAUAUUGUCGAUACAGAGAACGAAAUAGACAAUCGGGCAUCUAUUAUCGGGUAUGCUAUAUAUUUUACCAUGUACGAACAGUACUAACUCUGCUUACAAACACGAACAUGACGUUUAGUAUUUUUGAUUCUUGGUCAGGAAAUAUAAAACAAAGCGUGAGAAAGCAAAAAAAGAGAGAUUGAGGAAGCAAGUUAUUGAAAGAAUUGUGAAGAUGCUGGACGAAGUGAAUCCAUAUGUUCAUCAGUUUAGAUCAGCUAGAGAAAGGUUUAGUACUAAUCCAGAAGAAACACUGCAUAUGAGAAUUGUUAGUAGUCGAGAAAAGGAUGGAAGGACAUAUGAUACUCCUACUGCAUCUGAAGUUGCCGCACUGAUUCCAGGAGAUUUCAGUUUGGACAUGGAUAAAAGAGACAUCGUUUUAGAAGAAAAACAGACAGGAUAUCUUAAAAGGAUCAGUGAAAUACAUCCAUCUUAUCUUGCACUUCAAUACCCUCUCAUAUUUACAUACGGUGAAGAUGGAUUCAGGCUUGGAAUCAAAAAGAGAACUACGGAUGCUACAGCUCAGCAUAAGAGGCAGAAUAUCAGUAUGAGACAAUGGUAUGCUUUUCGGCUCCAAGAAAGAGAGAAUGAGUGUCAUACUCUUCUACAUUCUAAGAGGUUGUUUCAGCAGUUUUUGGUUGAUUCCUAUACUACUAUAGAGUCUAAUAGGCUACGUUAUCUGCGAAUGAACCAGAAGAGUCUACGGUCCGAUAGCUUCGACUCUAUUCAACAAGCUGAGAAUGAUGGAAAGGUCGAUAUGCAUGACCAGGGAAGUCGUUAUCUAUUGCCAGCCUCAUUUACUGGAUCUCCACGAUACAUGAAAAAUAUGUAUUUGGAUGCUAUGGCUGUUUGCAAAUAUUUUGGGUUUCCUGAUCUGUUUAUAACAUUUACCUGCAAUCCCAAAUGGCCUGAAAUAACAAGGUAUUUAGAACCUCGCAAUCUCACUGCAGAUGACAAACCAGAAAUUAUUGGUAGACUGUUCAAGUGUAAAUUGGAUUCCCUAAUGCUGGACUUGACGGAUAAACAGCUCUUGGGAAAGACUGUGGCAUGUGAGUUCUACUGAAUUUGAUAUAAAUGUUUUUUUUUUAAUAUUUGCUGCUUCCUACAUCUUACUCCUUAUUCUUUAAAUGCAGCCACGUAUACUUUCGAGUUCCAAAAACGUGGUCUUCCUCAUGCUCACAUUCUUCUAUUUAUGGCUCCUGGGUCAAAAUUUCCUACCACCGAAGACAUUGACAAUAUCAUUUCAGCUGAAAUUCCAGAUAAAGAUAAGGAGCCAGAGCUUUUUGAGGCAGUGAAAGAUAUGAUGAUUCAUGGUCCUUGUGGAGCUGUCAACAUGAAUUCACCUUGCAUGGAGAAUGGAAAAUGUUCUAAGUUGUAUCCUAAAGUUCAUAAUGAAACGACUACUGUGAACAAAGAAGGGUUUCCUGUUUACAGAUGAAGAGACCAGCCUGAUCGCUUUAUUGAAAAACACGGUUUCAAAUGUGACAACAGAUAUGUCAUUCCUUAUAAUAGGGAUCUCUCAAUUCGUUAUCGAGCUCACAUUAACGUUGAAUGGUGUAAUCAGACAGGUUCUAUUAAGUACUUAUUUAAGUACAUUAAUAAAGGACAGGAUCGUUGUACUGUAGCCGUUGAGAAUCCAGCGAAUGCUAAACAGAAAGGAGCAGCAAGUGACACAGUGUCUACUGAUGGAGCUUCGACCCAAGAGAAUAAAAAUGAAAUUAAGGAUUUCUUCAACUGCAGGUAUAGUUAUUUCACCUAUGUUAGACGAUUGCGUUUAAAUAUUAAAUGGACCUAAAUAUGCUUUUUUGAAUUCUUUUGUUUUUCUUUGCAGAUAUGUAUCCGCGUCUGAAGGAGGAUGGAGAACUUUUAAGUUCCCUAUACACUAUCGAUCAGUACCGGUUGAGAGGAUACAAUUUCACCUACCGGGAAAACAGAUUGUUAUUUUCAGAGAUGAUGACACAUAUGAAAAAGUUACCAGUCGCGUUCUUAUUGAAGAUACUUAUUUCAUGGGUUGGUUUGAAUUGAACAAAGUCAGUGCUGUUGCUCGGAAACUGACUCUAGCUGAAAUCCCAACACGGUUUGUUUGGAAUAAAAAAGAGCGGAAGUUUACUGAUAGAAAGAAAGGAUUCAGUAUUGGGAGAAUCAACUACGCUCCACGAAAGAUUGAACAAGCGUUUUAUUUGCGUGUCUUGCUGAAUAUUGUAAGAGGUCCGACAUGUAUCGAGGAUAUCAGAACAUUUAACAAUGUUCUGUAUUCGUCGUACAAAGAGACAUGCUUUGCUCAGGGUUUGUUAGAAGAUGAUCAAGAAUACAUUGACGAUAUCGUUCGGACAAGUUUUACAGGUUAAGCAGCGUAUAUGCGACAAUGUUUUGUGGUCAUGCUCAUGUCAAAUAGUCUGUCGGAGCCAGAAACUGUUUGGGAACACACUUGGAAAUUUCUAUCUGAAGACAUUGAGUAUCGUCGUAGAAAGCUAUUAAAUAGACCAGGUAUCUUUACUCUUCUUAUUGAUUAUGUAGAUUUUUGUUUAGCAUUAUACACUCACAUAAUUCCCCGUGUAAACCUCUCUCUUUGAUAAUGUAGAUUUAUGCUUGAGUGAGGAGGAGAUUAAACAGCUUACUCUACACGAGAUUGAGAAGAUUUUGAAAAGGAAUGGUACUUCUCUGGAGGCAUGGGAAUCUAUGACAAAGCCGAUAUCUGAUUUUUCUCAGCAGGAGAAUGUGUUGAUUAUGGAUGAGCUUGCGUACGACAGAGAGCGGUUAAAGGCUGAUCAUGAUCGAGACUUUUCAAAAAUGACAGACGAACAAAGAGAGAUUUAUGGUUAAUAAAGGACAAGAUCGUUGUACUGUAGCCGUUGAGAAUCCAGUGAAUGCUAAACAGAAAGGAGCAGCAAGUGACACAGUGUCUACUGAUGGAUCUUCGACCCAAGAGAAUAAAAAUGAAAUUAAGGAUUUCUUCAACUGCAGGUAUAGUUAUUUCACCUAUGUUAGACGAUUGCGUUUAAAUAUUAAAUGGACCUAAAUAUGUGUUCCUGAUUUCUUUUGUUUUUCUUUGCAGAUAUGUAUCCGCGUCUGAAGGAGGAUGGAGAACUUUUAAGUUCCCUAUACACUAUCGAUCAGUACCGGUUGAGAGGAUACAAUUUCACCUACCGGGAAAACAGAUUGUUAUUUUCAGAGAUGAUGACACAUAUGAAAAAGUUACCAGUCGCGUUCUUAUUGAAGAUACUUAUUUCAUGGGUUGGUUUGAAUUGAACAAAGUCAGUGCUGUUGCUCGGAAACUGACUCUAGCUGAAAUCCCAACACGUUUUGUUUGGAAUAAAAAAGAGCAGAAGUUUACUGAUAGAAAGAAAGGAUUCAGUAUUGGGAGAAUCAACUACGCUCCACGAAAGAUUGAACAGGCGUUUUAUUUGCAAAUACCCCUUUGCUUUCAUUUAUCUACCCGAUCAUUGACUGAUUCUUUUUCGAUCCUAGCAAAACAAAACCAAAAACAAUUACCAUACGAUGAUUGUAUAAUACCAAAAUUAAUAGUAUCAUAUAGUAAGGUUCGAUAAAGUUUUAUAAGAUGAUGCUUCAUCUUAAAGUUUUGUACUUAUCUGUUUCAAAGCUGACUGUGUUUCUUGGUAGAGAUGAUGUUUCAAACGGAAGCUCCAUUUUAUAUGUUGCAUCAAUCUGUAAAAGGUUUCAUGUUAAAGCUUCCGUUACAAUUACAUUAGAAUUCUAAAUUGUAACCAAAUAUCAAACGCACAAAGAAUAUCCUGUAAUAAGCGACCAAAUUAUAUUUAAAUUUAUUUCAGUGCAUAAAAAAAUCCUGUAAUAAGCGACCAUAGAAACCAAUAUUUUUAUGUACAGAAAAAAAAAAUUAUCACAACUUUACAUGUUUUGUCGGACUUCUCUUCAGAUCUUCUUCGAACACAUCAGAAACUAUUUAAAUCUGGCCUAUUUGUUGUUAAAAGUGAUCGGAAACAACAUGCAGACAAAACCUCCAAGUGAUCUGCUGAUUUUACAAACGUACAAAUUUAAAAUUGAACAGUCUAUCGAUGAAAAAAGAAUAAAUAAGGAAUAGAAGAUAAACCUGUGUAGCUCAAUAGGGAUGAUUCCAAUCCAAACACAAUGAAAAUUUAUCCCAACGGAGAGAAUUGUAUUUUUUUUUAUUGUCUAUUUGCUACUUGACAAAAAGGAAGGUUAUCCUCUCAAGUCGGCACAACUUUAUACGUGAUGAGCUUGGGUCGACUUUUAACAUUACAAACCACCACCAGAACUAUCUAAAUGCAAAACGUGUUGGGUUUACAAAUAUCUAUAGAAAACAAUUAGUUAAUAAAUAUAUAAAAACAGAAGCCCAUCUAUAAUAACUCUAAUGAGAUAUAUGUCUACAAGAUAAAACAUCUAGCAAUAUUUUGUUUUUAAAAUUUUAUAUUCGUUAUCAAAAAUAAAUAAUAUUUUAUUUUAAUGGUUUAAUAUUGAUAGUUAAUAUACAGGAAAAUUAUUUGUAAUUGGAAUCAAUUGUUGCUAUAUAAAUUUAUUUAGGUUUACUAAUAUGUUUAAAACUAACUAUACAAAAUUUAUUUUCAAAUUAAAACACAUCCAAAAAACACAUUAGCUCGACUCCAUAUAUACCAAUAUUGUUUAUUUCAAUAAUGUAUUUUCAAGCUUUCCUUCUUAAUCGAUAUUCCGUACCAAUGAUUGUGCUCAUACACAUCAUCAUAUAAAACUUCAUUUAAAACAAUAUUUUUAACGAAAACAAACCCGCGCUUCCUAAGCGCGGGUCAAAAUCUAGUAUUAUUUUAUAAUUGAGGUCCUUUUGUAAUUUGUAGCAAAGGAUCUAUACAUAUGCAUAAAUUGGUCAACCAUAUAUAUUAUGUCAAGGUCCAUCAAAUUUUUGAGCCGGGCCUGUGUAAACCGUGAUUACAUUAUUUGCGUAGACAUUUAAUUAGUUACUUGUUUAUAUGAUAUGCAUAUGAUAAUGCUAUAUCUCAUAAGGAUAACAACAUGAUUAGGAUUCCAAAAAAAAAGGGAAAAAGGAAAACAAAACUCUACCCUGGUAUAGGAAGUCUGAUAUAAAAUUCCAAAUACUUUUAUUUAUAACUGAAAAUUUAUUUUUCGAUAUUUCUUUUGGUAGUAACAAGCAAAAACUUAGCGAGAGGAUGGAUGAUAUUGAUAUAGCUAUCCUUGAGCUCACCAUCUUCGCGAUGUUCAUGAUCAUAUGUUGUUGCUGUUGCUGUCGUACUGGUCCCGUUGAGUUACCUCCCCAGUUAAUCGACAAAACUCCACAGACUCAACAAGACAUUGAAACCGGACAGAUAAAGGGCAUACUGUUCAAAGAUAUCAAAGAGAAAGAAGAAGAAGAAGGGUGUGGUAAACGUUGUUGUCCAAUUUGUUUGGAAGAGUACGAGGAUGAUCAUGAGAUUAGGCGUUUGGACUUAAACAAAAUCAAAGUUCCAGGAUUACUAAAUCAUAGUCUUCGUUUAAAAGUUGGUUGUCCUGUGAUGUUGCUAAGAAACAUAGAUCCUACUGGCGGAUUAAUGAAUGGGACUCGGCUUCAGAUAACAGAGAUGUAUGAUCACAUUAUAAAGGCGAAAGUAAUAACUGGAGACAAGGUUGGUCGAACUGUUCUUCUUCCUAGACUUGCUAUUACACCUUCUGACAAGAAGUUACCUUUCAAGAUGAGGAGGAGGCAACUUCCCAUUGCUGUGGCAUUUGCCAUAACAAUUAAUAAGAGUCAGGGCCAGUCACUCUCAGAAGUUGGCAUUUAUCUACCUAGGCCAGUGUUUUCACAUGGACAACUAUAUGUUGCCAUCUCUAGAGUUACAUCUAAAAGAGGGUUGAAGAUUUUGAUCGUGGACGAUCAAGGCAAGCCUCAGAGACAAACAAUUAAUGUUGUUUUCAAAGAGAUUUUCCAGAAUCUCUAAUUUUCUAUUUAGUUUGUUUUUUCGUUUUCUAAAACUAUCUACUUUUGGCAUACUCAAUGUUUGAAUUUUAUCUACUUUUCAAAUAAUGGCAGAGAAGUUUUUUAUUUUCAAUCAAACCGCUCAAACAUUACAUCACAUCAAACAACUUCCGGUUUAUUGCUAACUACCGAUAAAGUUCUAUACCUAUUGUCUAGAGGUAAUAUCAAUUUAGGGGAACAACUUACUUUUCUUUUCGAGGCAACACAUUCGGGCUAUUUCCAAGUACUCCUUUGCUUUCAUUUAUCUACCCGAUCAUUGACUGAUUCUUUU
rnacentral:lncRNA from 1 species